rnacentral:rRNA from 1 species
CCAGACUCCUACGGGAGGCAGCAGUGAGGAAUAUUGGUCAAUGGUCGGGAGACUGAACCAGCCAAGCCGCGUGAGGGAUGAAGGUACAGAGUAUCGUAAACCUCUUUUGUCAGGGAACAAAGGCGGGGACGUGUCCCCGGAUGAGUGUACCUGAAGAAAAAGCAUCGGCUAACUCCGUGCCAGCAGCCGCGGUAAUACGGAGGAUGCGAGCGUUAUCCGGAUUUAUUGGGUUUAAAGGGAGCGUAGGCCGGUCUUUAAGCGUGCCGUGAAAUUUUGUGGCUCAACCAUGAGAGUGCGGCGCGAACUGGAGACCUUGAGUGCGCGGAAGGCAGGCGGAAUUCGUGGUGUAGCGGUGAAAUGCAUAGAUAUCACGCAGAACUCCGAUUGCGAAGGCAGCAUACCGGCGCGCAACUGACGCUCAUGCACGAAAGCGUGGGGAUCGAACAGGAUUAGAUACCCCUGUACAG